rnacentral:rRNA from 1 species
UACAGAGGGUGCAAGCGUUAAUCGGAAUUACUGGGCGUAAAGCGUGCGUAGACGGUUGCGUAAGUCAGAAGUGAAAGCCCCGGGCUCAACCUGGGAAUUGCAUUUGAGACUGCGUAGCUAGGGUGCGGAAGAGGGAAGCGGAAUUUCCGGUGUAGCGGUGAAAUGCGUAGAUAUCGGAAGGAACACCAGUGGCGAAAGCGGCUUCCUGGUCCAGCACCGACGUUCAGGCACGAAAGCGUGGGGAGCAAACAGG